AGAGAUGUGUGAUGACGCAUAUCAAUAAGCGGAGGAAAAGAAACUAACAAGGAUUCCCUUAGUAACGGCGAGUGAAGCGGGAAGAGCUCAAAUUUGAAAUCUUCAAGGUUCUACCUUGACGAAUUGUAGUUUAUAGAAGUGUUUUCUGUUAGUAGAGUGGCAAAAGUUCUUUGGAAUAGGACAUCAUAGAGGGUGAGAAUCCCGUAUUUGGUCAUUCUUUCUAGCUUUGUGAUACACUUUCAACGAGUCGGAUUGUUUGGGAAUGCAGUCCAAAAUGGGUGGUAAAUUUCAUCUAAAGCUAAAUAUUGGCGAGAGACCGAUAGCGAACAAGUACCGUGAGGGAAAGAUGAAAAGAACUUUGAAAAGAGAGUUAAACAGUACGUGAAAUUGUCAAAAGGGAAGCGUUUGACACCAGUGUUGUUUUUCCGAAAAUCAAUUACGAAUGUUUUAUUUUUAAGAAGUUAUGACUUCAUCGGCUUGCUUCUUUCUUUACGAAACUUUCUUAAUGCACUUUUCGGUUAACAAGUCAACAUCAAUUUCUUUUGUUGUAAAAGGGUAUGAGGAAGGUGGCUUUCUUUUCGGAGAAAGUGUUUAUAGCCUUUGGCCUCUGCAAUCGGAGAGAUUGAGGUCUGCAGCGUAGAUCCUUCGGGGUUAGAUACAUUUGUGCUAAGUUAUAGCUUUUCAUAGACAACUUGUUGACUAUGUUUAGUCUUGUAGCUUACUCGCUUAUGCUAUUUUACCUACGCUUAGGAUGUUGAAGAUGUAGCACAUCAU
rnacentral:rRNA from 1 species